rnacentral:rRNA from 1 species
UACAGAGGUCUCAAGCGUUGUUCGGAUUCAUUGGGCGUAAAGGGUGCGUAGGCGGCGCGGUAAGUCGGGUGUGAAAUCUCGGAGCUUAACUCCGAAACUGCAUUCGAUACUGCCGUGCUUGAGGACUGGAGAGGAGACUGGAAUUUACGGUGUAGCGGUGGAAUGCGUAGAGAUCCGGAAGAACACCGGUGGCGAAGGCGGCCCGCUGGGCAACUGCUGACACUGAGGCGCGACAGCGUGGGGAGCAAACAGG